UGGGGAAUAUUGGACAAUGGGCGAAAGCCUGAUCCAGCAAUGCCGCGUGAGUGAUGAAGGCCUUAGGGUUGUAAAGCUCUUUUACCAGGGAUGAUAAUGACGGUACCCGAAGAAGAAGCUCCGGCUAACUUCGUGCCAGCAGCCGCGGUAAUACGAAGGGAGCUAGCGUUGUUCGGAAUCACUGGGCGUAAAGCGCACGUAGGCGGAUAGUUAAGUCAGGGGUGAAAUCCUGGGGCUCAACCCCAGAACUGCCUUUGAUACAGCAAGUCUUGAGUCCGAUAGAGGUGAGUGGAAUUCCUAGUGUAGAGGUGAAAUUCGUAGAUAUUAGGAAGAACACCGGUGGCGAAGGCGGCUCACUGGAUCGGUACUGACGCUGAGGUGCGAAAGCGUGGGGAGCAAACAGGAUUAGAUACCCAUGUAGUCCCUGAGCGGGCUGGCAAGGCGCAU
rnacentral:rRNA from 1 species